AACGCACAUUGCGCCUCCUGGCAUUCCGGGAGGCAUGCCUGUUCGAGCGUCAUUAAAACACCCCUCAAGCACUUUUGCUUGGUGUUGGGGGAGGAGGGUGCACUCGCUGCCUCUCCCCUCCGAAAUGCAAUGGCGGAGAGCUCCCACGUGCCACCGGCGUAGUAAAGUUCAGCUUUCGCCCCAAGCGUGAGGGUAAUCCUGCCCCAGAAACCCCCAAUUUCAUUCCAGGUUGACCUCGGAUCAGGUAGGGAUACCCGCUGAACUUAA
rnacentral:misc_RNA from 1 species